UCCUCAUAUUUUGCUGCACAAAAAUUCAAAUUUUCAUACAAAAAAAUACAGUAUCCUUGUAAACAACUUUUCCACAGCGAAACAAUAAAAAAUUGGCAAACUUGGAUUUUGCAUUGAUUACCUAUAUGGGAAUAUCACUUUAUAUACAGACUAUCAUACUGCAUCAUAUUUUUAAAUAUGUACUGCUAACAAGCUUUAAAUACACAGCUAGAUCUUCAGCAACAAUAGUAAACAAGUUGCAUGCAUUGUCAUGCUUAAUGGAUGGCUCCAUUUGUUAUUCAAAGUAUCAGAACACUUGAAAAAGAUGUCAGACAAAAAGCUCUGACAAAUUAUACUGUAUUACUGUCAAGCUGCUGACCACACAUGAAUUCAUUCUGUUCAGUGGUUUCAGAGAAAAAAGUUAGGAAAAUGUUCAUUCAAACUCAAUAUAUAGGCAUUCCAGCUUAAAUUGCUUAAGUUCAAAAAGAAAUAGCAAAAAGGUGUUAUUCAUUAGUUAUCUGCAUUAAAUGCAAAAUGACUUUCAUUACCCAAAUUUUGAAUAAUUUUAAGAUGCAUCCACUUUCCAUUUUUGUUUCAUUUUUUUUUAGUUGCAUGCAGAUCUAGAAAAGUGAAAAACAACCAUAGUGACACAACAUAUACAGUUUUACCUUUUUAGGUCAGAGUUAUGGCACUUUGUCUGAUUGUAUUGUUCACACAUUGUGGUCAAUAUAAUGGAAUUUUAUGUAUCAGUCAUACAAGAGAGAGGUUUAGCUUACUAAUAAACUAUGUUUAAUAUAUCAUUUUCUACAAAAAGAAAUGCUUUUUACCAAGUCAGGAAUAUGACAGUUGUUUUCCAUUUUUUUAAUGUAUUUGUGCUUUCGAUUUGCCAUUUGUUGAGGGAAGGCAAUUCAAAAUUGCAUAUCCAUCAUAAGAAGCAAUGCAUUUUUACUGUACAAAAAUAGUGUUCGACACCGGCCUAUACUUGUGAUUUGAAAAUAACUUCCCUGGGUCCAUGUACCUUUUAAUGAUACAAGCCUCACAGUGUAUGCACAAUCAUAUUACCAAUAAAGCCAAAUAUAGAAGUUAAUGGAACAAAAAAUUACCCACAUAAAAUUUAUCUUAAUUUUUUAAAGAUACACGAUUAAACAACCAUUACAUUUUAUUUUACCAUUUGGUUUAUUUUCUUUACAACCUUAAGUAAGAAUUUGUGGUAAUG
rnacentral:lncRNA from 1 species